rnacentral:rRNA from 1 species
UACGUAGGGUGCGAGCGUUAAUCGGAAUUACUGGGCGUAAAGCGUGCGCAGGCGGUUUUGUAAGUCAGAUGUGAAAUCCCCGGGCUUAACCUGGGAAUGGCAUUUGGGACUGCAAGGCUUGAGUGCGGCAGAGGAGACUGGAAUUCCUGGUGUAGCAGUGAAAUGCGUAGAUAUCAGGAGGAACACCGAUGGCGAAGGCAGGUCUCUGGGCUGACACUGACGCUCAUGCACGAAAGCGUGGGGAGCAAACAGG